CUGGGCCUGAAGCUCAGUGAGGCAGAGAGGAGUCACAGCAUCUGGGAGCGGCGACCCCUGGAUCUGGGCAUGCAGGUUGAGAAACGGGGCCUGGCGGUCCCUGGGGGACGCCCCUCGAGGUGGAAACAGGCUGCGAGAGGGGAAGUGGUACAGGAUCCGACCAGACUUUCCUUGAACACAACCAGUGCCUGGCUAAGAGGGAUGCUCAGCUGGAACCACAUUCAGAGACAGACCAGAGAAACUGAGGCAGAGGGCUGAUUUCCCCAGGGAAGACCACAGGUCCACUGCUCCCCUCCCAAUGCUUGCAGGACUGGCCCUGGGAGAGGACAGCAGGCUCUUCAUUCUCUCCUGCUUUGACAUAUCCACAGCCUGACUUCUCCAGAUCCAUCUCGCCUAAAUCCAUCCACAGGCCAGACUGAGCCAUGUGAAAACUGAGCAGCACAGGGAAGCUUUGGGAGGAAAACCAUUCUCCCUUUAUGUGGGAGCACAGCAGACAUAAUGCCUUCCUGGGGGUGCUUGAGAGGAGAUGCUGCCAAUCUUCAUCAUCACGGAUACCAUUUAUGGGACACCUAUACAGGGACCCUUCUCUCUGUGACUUUCCGAGAGGCUCAAGCAAAGAGACAAGACUGCUGGAGCAAACGCCCACCUUCACCCUGACAGCCUGCUCAUGCCAGGAGCACAGAGACGGCGGUGUGAGCAUGGGACCCAGGUGCCCACAGAUAAACAUCCAGACACUGUGCGAGCGCAGACAUACUUGAGGGCCCACAAGCCAUCUUCCACACGCACACGCAGGCACGCUGGACCCUCGCCCUCCUUCCUCCCUAGCCUGGCGUCUGUUCCGUCAUGGUAGACCCGUCUACCCCCCGAGUAGUCCUCUUGCCCUGGCUGAGCCCACACUCCUUCCCAAACUCUCAAACCCUCCGCCAAGUGGGUGGCACAGCUGUUCAAGAAUAAAGGAACCACAGGGCACUGCUGGCCUUGGCAUAACCAGGCCCUGACCUCCGAGGAGGCCCUGCCACUCUGAUGUCCCGGAUUAGUGCCAGCUGCCGCCCACUCUGGAAUGCCGUGGAUGGAUCCCUCCGAGCUGGAACCUCCUCCUCCUCCUUCCCCUGACAAGUCCCUUGUUCCCUCGUUCCCUAGGGCUGGGUCCUUGGGCUCCACUCCAACUGCUCCCCACCCCUGUCCUGAUGGUGCAGACAUGUGUCGGGAAGGUAGCACAGGGCUGAGGCCACUCCCGCAGGGCGAUAUCACUUCUUUGCCAACCCGAGCAGCCUGGGGUGAGGGUCUGGGGAUGAGUCCAUGGCAGAAGAUAACAGGGCCUUGGCCAGAGGUCUGUGGGCUGCAUGUUGUAGACGAACCCAGGUGGCAGGAGGUGGUUAGCACCAGGUGACUGUGUCUGGGGCCCUGAGGUUGAGCAAGAGACAGACUUGGAGAAUGGGUUCCUUCCGAGUUUGUCCAUAUGCAGCUGAGUGAGGCGAGGAGGCGGCACGGGUGACCGCUAGUACUUACUGGGCACUGGCUUCAUGCAGGGCACUGCGCUGAGCACUUGGUACACAGGCACACAGUUCUCCCGACCCCAUGGAAUGAGUGCUAUUGUUGUCCAUUUUGCAGAUGGGAGAAAGGGCCAGAGAGGUUGUAUCACUUACCCAGAGUCACCUGGUCAGCAAGUGGUAGCACCUAGAUUCAAAUACAAGCUGUUUGACUGCCAAAC